GACAGAGGGUGCAAACGUUGUUCGGAAUUACUGGGCGUAAAGCGCGUGUAGGCGGCCCUGUAAGUCGGGUGUGAAAUCCCACGGCUCAACCGUGGAAGUGCAUUCGAAACUACAGGGCUAGAGUUCUGGAGAGGAAGGUGGAAUGCUUGGUGUAGAGGUGAAAUUCGUAGAUAUCAAGCGGAGCACCGGUGGCGAAGGCGGCCUUCUGGACAGUAACUGACGCUGAGACGCGAAAGCGUGGGGAGCAAACAGG
rnacentral:rRNA from 1 species